rnacentral:rRNA from 1 species
UGCAGAGGUCUCAAGCGUUGUUCGGAUUCACUGGGCGUAAAGGGUGCGUAGGCGGUUUGAUAAGUCUGAUGUGAAAUCCCGCAGCUUAACUGCGGAACUGCAUUGGAAACUGUUUGACUAGAGGAAUGGAGGGGAGACUGGAAUACUUGGUGUAGCAGUGAAAUGCGUAGAUAGCAAGUGGAACACCAGGGGCGAAGGCGAGUCUCUGGACAUUUCCUGACGCUGAGGCACGAAAGCCAGGGGAGCAAACGGG